AGUAUGUGGUCGUAGACCCGAAACCAGGUGAUCUACCCAUGUCCAGGGUGAAGUCCAGGUAACACUGGAUGGAGGCCCGAACCCACGCACGUUGAAAAGUGCGGGGAUGAGGUGUGGGUAGCGGAGAAAUUCCAAUCGAACUUGGAGAUAGCUGGUUCUCUCCGAAAUAGCUUUAGGGCUAGCCUCAUGUAGUAAGAGUCUUGGAGGUAGAGCACUGUUUGGACUAGGGGCCCUCAUCGGGUUACCGAAUUCAGACAAACUCCGAAUGCCAAAGACUUAUCCAUGGGAGUCAGACUGCGAGUGAUAAGAUCCGUAGUCGAAAGGGAAACAGCCCAGACCACCAGCUAAGGUCCCAAAGUAUACGUUAAGUGGCAAAGGAUGUGGAGUUGCUUAGACAACCAGGAUGUUGGCUUAGAAGCAGCCACCAUUUAAAGAGUGCGUAAUAGCUCACUGGUCGAGUGACUCCGCGCCGAAAAUGUAACGGGGCUAAACGUAUCACCGAAGCUGUGGAUUGGCGUCACACGAUGUCAGUGGUAGGAGAGCGUUCUAAGGGCGUUGAAGCUAGACCGGAAGGACUGGUGGAGCGCUUAGAAGUGAGAAUGCCGGUAUGAGUAGCGAAAGAUGGGUGAGAAUCCCAUCCACCGAAUGCCUAAGGUUUCCUGAGGAAGGCUCGUCCGCUCAGGGUUAGUCGGGACCUAAGCCGAGGCCGAAAGGCGUAGGCGAUGGACAACAGGUUGAUAUUCCUGUACCACCAAAUUACCGUUUGAGUGAUGGGGGGACGCAGGAGGAUAGGGUAAGCGCGCUGUUGGAUAUGCGCGUCCAAGCAGUUAGGCUGAUCACGAGGCAAAUCCCGUGAUCAAAAGGCUGAGCUGUGAUGGCGAGGGAAAUAUAGUACCGAAGUUCCUGAUUCCACACUGCCAAGAAAAGCCUCUAGCGAGGUAACAGGUGCCCGUACCGCAAACCGACACAGGUAGGCGAGGAGAGAAUCCUAAGGUGAGCGAGAGAACUCUCGUUAAGGAACUCGGCAAAAUGACCCCGUAACUUCGGGAGAAGGGGUGCUCUUCAGGGUGAAUAGCCCAGAAGAGCCGCAGUGAAUAGGCCCAGGCGACUGUUUAGCAAAAACACAGGUCUCUGCGAAGCCGCAAGGCGAAGUAUAGGGGCUGACGCCUGCCCGGUGCUGGAAGGUUAAGAGGAGGGGUUAGCCUUAAAAGCGAAGCUCUGAAUCGAAGCCCCAGUAAACGGCGGCCGUAACUAUAACGGUCCUAAGGUAGCGAAAUUCCUUGUCGGGUAAGUUCCGACCCGCACGAAAGGCGUAACGAUCUGGGCACUGUCUCAACGAGAGACUCGGUGAAAUUAUAGUACCUGUGAAGAUGCAGGUUACCCGCGACAGGACGGAAAGACCCCGUGGAGCUUUACUGUAGCCUGAUAUUGAAUUUUGGUACAGCUUGUACAGGAUAGGUAGGAGCCUGAGAAGCCGGAGCGCUAGCUUCGGUGGAGGCGUCGGUGGGAUACUACUCUGGCUGUAUUGAAAUUCUAACCCUCACCCCUAAAUCGGGGUGGGAGACAGUGUCAGGUGGGCAGUUUGACUGGGGCGGUCGCCUCCUAAAAAGUAACGGAGGCGCCCAAAGGUUCCCUCAGAAUGGUUGGAAAUCAUUCGUAGAGUGUAAAGGCACAAGGGAGCUUGACUGCGAGACCUACAAGUCGAGCAGGGACGAAAGUCGGGCUUAGUGAUCCGGUGGUUCCGCAUGGAAGGGCCAUCGCUCAACGGAUAAAAGCUACCCCGGGGAUAACAGGCUUAUCUCCCCCAAGAGUCCACAUCGACGGGGAGGUUUGGCACCUCGAUGUCGGCUCAUCGCAUCCUGGGGCUGUAGUCGGUCCCAAGGGUUGGGCUGUUCGCCCAUUAAAGCGGUACGCGAGCUGGGUUCAGAACGUCGUGAGACAGUUCGGUCCCUAUCCGUCGUGGGCGUAGGAAAUUUGAGAGGAGCUGUCCUUAGUACGAGAGGACCGGGAUGGACGCACCGCUGGUGUACCAGUUGUCUUGCCAAAGGCAUCGCUGGGUAGCUAUGUGCGGAAGGGAUAAGUGCUGAAAGCAUCUAAGCAUGAAGCCCCCCUCAAGAUGAGAUUUCCCAUAGCGCAAGCUAGUAAGAUCCCUGAAAGAUGAUCAGGUUGAUAGGUCAGAGGUGGAAGCGCGGCGACGUGUGGAGCUGACUGAUACUAAUCGAUCGAGGACUUAACCAAAUU
rnacentral:rRNA from 1 species